UUUCCGUUUCAUUCCAUAAAGUGAAGCAAAACCGGUAGAUCUAAUUUGUGGACGACAAGAAAAAAGGUUAAUCUCAGUGACGGAAACUAGCUGUGGCCUGCCCUUCAUAGAGAAGUGAAUUGUGAUUGGAAGAUGUUCUCAGAUUUCUGCAGCUGGGCCGUCAUUCCUUUCCCAGCUGGUGAGAGGCUCUUCAGCAGUGCGAAAGACUCGACCAGUUUAUAAUGUCUGCAUGACGGCCCAUCGUAUGGAUGUCCCAUGAUGUACUUGACAGACAGAUAGUGUUAUUUUGGUGAACAAGGAACAAACAGAAGAAAAUAAUAGUUUCUGAGUGGAUUUGGUGAGUGGCUUCUGGUGAUUCUGGUAAGGAUUUGAGACCCAGAUCAGACCCCUGAAUCUAGCUUCAGUGCUGGGUUCCUGGGGUGAACGUCGGCACCAUGUUGGUAACUGGGUAGCCACGUGGCAGCUGAGAUGCCGCUCCAAUCAGUGUAUUGAAGUCAGUGCUCACUUCCCAAGGGGACCCAUCCCACU